CAUGUAUCUUACGUUCAACCCAAGCCGAAUUGUAUUUACUCUUUAACACCAACAGCUUUCUGUCUCCCCUCCUUUUGCUCUACUUGUCUUUCACAGUUUCAAAACUUCAGCCCUUUAGCUUUCUAACGCCAACCUCUAUCUCCUCCAAAGACAGUUUCAAAACUUCUGACUUUCAGCUUUCUACCGCCAACUUCUUUCUCUUCCAAAUACAAUUUCAAAAAUUCAGACUUUCAGCUAUCUAACGCCAACCUCUUUCUCGUCCCUCCUUCAUCUCUUCUUCGGGUAUCUCUGAAUCUCAAUUGUAAAUAAAAUUAAAUGGAUAUUGUAAAAUAAUUUACAGUUGAGGAUGCGUUGAUGGGUCUCCAUGGUUAUUGAAAAUUGAUUUGAAAAGAUUUUUUUUUUUUUUUUUGGGUGAAAUUAUUUCAAUAUUGUUAUCUGUCUAUUGUGAAUAUUCCAACGCAGUGGCUUAGGCUCCAGGAAAAAAAUAUGUAGGAAAUAUCAGAGACUUGACAGCCCCAAAAUCCCAAUGUAAAUACCACUGACUAUCUCUGGUAGUCGUCCAACAGCGUUCAACAGCCCCAAAAUCCCAGUAUAAAUACCCACAGAAAGCCUCUGGUAGUCUUCUAACAUCAUUGUUUCAAUUGUUUAUUAAUGGAUUGCCUACAAUGUGUUUGAUUAUAGUUGUCAAUUUUGAUUGUUCAUUAAUGGACUGCCUACAAUGUGUUUGAUUAUAGUUGUCAAUAACAUUCACACUGCUUUGUUUAAAAAAAAAAUCCUCUUGAAGCAACCAAGGUUCAGAAGAUGGGAAACUUCAAGUCUUGAAGGAUGGGCUUUCAAGUUUGUCGAAGGUGAUUCAAGUGGGAGGAAUUGCCGGAUGAAGUGCCAUUUGGGUUCUAAAGUUUUCUCCUUGUAUAUCACAUCCUUUUCUCGAAGAAAGUCACUCUCAAAAGAUUUUGAUUGGUUUAAAGAAAAGAUAUAAGAUUCUAGAAGGAGAAUGCUUGGAUCAAGAUUGUCAUAGCAUUGAGCAACUGUGAUAGUUAUUGCUAUUGGCUUAUGUGUAAAUUAAAUGCCUAAAAUAGAGAUAGAUGUGGCAACAGUGUUUAUUAAAAGAGAAAUGAUAUGUCUACAACAUUUUUACAACAAAUCUUAAGUGGUAGGUUGUUACCAGUUGUUAUUGUUGGGGCAAAAAAAUAAUCUUCGUGUUAGAUUUAAAUUUGAACUAAUAACAACUAACUACCUGUGAUUUGUUAUGAAAAUGUUAUAAAAAUGUUGUGAACAUAGCAUCUCUUUUAUUGAAAUUCUUGAUAGUGUCUGAUUAGC